rnacentral:rRNA from 1 species
UACGUAGGGGGCAAGCGUUGUCCGGAAUCAUUGGGCGUAAAGCGCGUGUAGGCGGUUCGAUAAGUCUGCUGUGAAAGUCCAGGGCUCAACCCUGGGAUGCCGGUGGAUACUGUCGAGCUAGAGUACGGAAGAGGCGAGUGGAAUUCCCGGUGUAGCGGUGAAAUGCGCAGAUAUCGGGAGGAACACCAAUUGCGAAGGCAGCUCGCUGGGACGUCACUGACGCUGAGACGCGAAAGCGUGGGGAGCAAACAGG